GAUGAACGCUGGCGGCGUGCCUAAUACAUGCAAGUCGAGCGAACGGACGAGAAGCUUGCUUUUCUGAUGUUAGCGACGGACGGGUGAGUAACACGUGGAUAACCUACCUAUAAGACUGGGAUAACUUCGGGAAACCGGAGCUAAUACCGGAUAAUAUUUUGAACCGCAUGGUUCAAAAGUGAAAGACGGUCUUGCUGUCACUUAUAGAUGGAUCCGCGCUGCAUUAGCUAGUUGGUAAGGUAACGGCUUACCAAGGCAACGAUGCAUAGCCGACCUGAGAGGGUGAUCGGCCACACUGGAACUGAGACACGGUCCAGACUCCUACGGGAGGCAGCAGUAGGGAAUCUUCCGCAAUGGGCGAAAGCCUGACGGAGCAACGCCGCGUGAGUGAUGAAGGUCUUCGGAUCGUAAAACUCUGUUAUUAGGGAAGAACAUAUGUGUAAGUAACAGUGCACAUCUUGACGGUACCUAAUCAGAAAGCCACGGCUAACUACGUG
rnacentral:rRNA from 1 species